rnacentral:rRNA from 1 species
UACGUAGGUGGCAAGCGUUGUCCGGAUUUAUUGGGCGUAAAGCGAGCGCAGGCGGUUUCUUAAGUCUGAUGUGAAAGCCCCCGGCUCAACCGGGGAGGGUCAUUGGAAACUGGGAGACUUGAGUGCAGAAGAGGAGAGUGGAAUUCCAUGUGUAGCGGUGAAAUGCGUAGAUAUAUGGAGGAACACCAGUGGCGAAGGCGGCUCUCUGGUCUGUAACUGACGCUGAGGCUCGAAAGCGUGGGGAGCAAACAGGAUUAGAUACC